AUGCAAGACCAUCCUUCUCCGUGUGGCCACCACCCCCAAAUCCUCUUGGAUAAAAAAUGUUUAGUGGGCGAGUUGAAAAAUUUCACUACCGCAAAAUCCAAGAAUAGCAAAGGGGUUCACUUGGAGGUUUCUUUUGAAGCAGUUGACCCUCCAGCCAUCUCACUGUGCCUGGUCAGCUGCGUUGAUCAGACCGGGGAUCGCUUGACAGCACCGCCUCGUAUACUUGGUGUAACUGGAGGCUUUGUACUGCUGGCUAUCACCUUCUCGGACAGUGUCAACCGUUACUUGUUCAUCGACUAUUUUGUUUACAAAGCAGGGCCCGAUUUCGCCUCUCUUCAUCUUCUUGCAAGGCCAUACCCGUCUUCUUUUUCGCCAAACAUGGCUGCCAUCUUGCCUGUUAGUGAUAACAGUGAAGACUUUGCUGUCAUUUUCCCACAUGUUGAAUAUUUCAGACUUGAGUCUCGCGAACAUUACACACUCCACAUAUAUCGAUCUGACACGAAUGAUUGGCACUCUCAGGUCGCUUGUAUCGCUGAGGAUAAUGAGACAAGGAAUGCCAGGGAUAAGCUAUUGCUUCAUAAUACCAUGAGCUUGGCAUAUGCAGAAAAGGGUAUCAUAGGUUGGAUUGAUCUCUGGUGGGGAAUUCUCUUAUGCAAUGUUUUGGAUAAAAAGCCUACCAUCCGUUUUGUUCCGUUGCCAGUUCCGGAACCGUGUGAUACGUCCGAGUUCCAUUUGAUGUUUGAGAAUCUCACUCCAAGACCACACCGUCAUGUGACGAUAUUCAAUGAUUUGAUCAAGUGUGUUGAGUUAGAUUUUCAUGUGCAAGAUGCUUUCUUCAACAUGAAGCGAGCAAAGGAUUAUGGCUGGAUGGCUAAAACAUGGACUAGAUCAAUUUAUUCAGAUGUUUGGUGUGAUGGCUUGAUGAUUGAUACGUCUGAGAUAUCUUUCACUGACUCAAGUUUGCCGAAUUUGUUGCCUGGGAUGUUUGAUGAGGAAAACAAUUUGACUUGGAAGAAAUUGACUAGUGCUGGUCCUACAUUAAGCUUGCUUGAUGACAAUGUUAUUUACAUUAUGGCGAACGAGAGCAUGUGCCAUCCGACAGCAUAUGUACUUACUGUGGACACCAAAAGUUUGAAGCUCGAGUCUGGUGCGCAGUGUGCUCCUCAAAAGACGGCGUGGUUCGAACCAACAUAUGAACCGUGUGUUCUUUUUAGCUCUUUUGGCACGACUUCAGAGUUGGUUAAAGAAUUUGAAACCAAAGGGACAAUAUUUGAAAUCAAGGAAGGGCCGGUGCUCUCGGUGGUGUCGAAGCGUCUCCGCGUGCUGCGGAAGAAGCAGAAUCGCAUCGCGCAGAUGGAGGAGUCCGUCGCUGCCGGCAAGAUGCUUAACCAGGAGCAGAAGGAGCUCAUGCACUCCAAGCCCGUCAUCGCCGCGCUCAUUGACGAGCUUGAGCGCCUCCGCGUACCACUCUCCACUGCUCUCACCAAGGAGCUCUCCACCGUCCCUGCACCUGCUGCCGGUUCCUCAUCCUUUGGCUCCGAUUUGUCCAUCCAGGACCUCCUCGCGCUCAUCUACUUCGGCUCCCUUUUUUAUGUCAAGUCACCGAACGAGUUCAUCGCCACCAUGGUUGCGCGCAAGAACGAACGGAGCAGCUGCAUCACCCACGGCUACGUAUGGGAUGAUACCGUGGACCUGCUCGUGGAGAACGACCUUGACGCAGUGUCUGCUGUGGCGGCCCUUGCCGCGGCUCGCCCUUCUUCCGCAGAUGGUGUCUCCCACCAUGACGCACUCCAGGCCUGUGCCCAUCAUGCCCGCCUAUGGCUAACCCGUGCUGAUGCGCCGAUCCACCCUGGCUCCUCUGUUACAUAUGCUGCGGUGAGGUCCAAGUUAGACAGGAUCAUGGCAUCAGACUACUACACAGCACCUGCAGUUGCUGGGAACCAUGGAGCUGAAGGUCUGCAGGCACAGAUGAGCAUGACCGACUCACCAGAGGCACCAUCACUCAAGGAGACCCUAGCUGCUGAAAAUCACAAGGAGGACGAGGAAGAUUCCUCGCAUGCCACAGAAAUCGACAAUGAUCAUCAGUCUAAUGCAGCCGAUGUGCAAAAUGUGGAUGGUAAAACCCUGGUGAACCCUCGUGUGGAAUAUCGCGUGGCUGAGGCAGAGCAGGAGAAAUUUGAUGUGAAAGAACAAGAUCAGAUGGUCACCCUGCCGUUCAUCAGCUUCACCGUCACCUUCCAGGAGCAGCCGGUGUUGUUCCUGAGCUUGAACUCCGUCGGCACCGCGACGAAGUGCUUGGUGAAGUCCAGGGGCAUGGGGAUGCACUCAAGCUUCGGUGCAAGGAUGACCUUGCAGAACUCCAGCUCCAAAGCCAACCCCUUCCCUUGGGGUAUUGGCUGGAGGGCCUUCUUCCUCGGGUGGUUGGCUGGUGACCGCACCAAGUUCGAGAACACCAUGGAGGUGUGCUCGAACUUCGGCUCCAUGCCUGACAUGCAGAAGGAAUCUAAUGCAGUAUUCAUGAAGGCCAUUGCAGAAGAGCUGAAGACGUUGAUUCCUGACCCAGCGAAGGGCGCGAUGGCAGUUGACAUCAUGCGCUGGGCCAUGAAUCAGGCCGUCUCCGACGACGGUAAACAGAGGAAGAAGUGGUGCAAGUACAAGAACUACUGGGCUCCUAAUGACCGCCGUGCCGCAGUGUACUGGGAGACGGCUAUCGCGUUGCCGGCGGUCAUCGGUGGGGAGCCUAAGGAGGAAGAAGAAGCGAUGCAGAUGCCAGCAAGGGCGCCGGAGCCAGGCCGUCGUACCAGGCAGAUCGACCUCGACUCCGCCGAGAAUGACGACGAUGACCCGCCGGCCCGCACGGCGAUGAAGAAGAAGAUGAAGGCCAGCAGCUCAACCCACCGCUCCGCACGCCGGUGA
rnacentral:rRNA from 1 species